UACAGAGGGUGCAAGCGUUGUUCGGAAUCAUUGGGCGUAAAGCGCACGUAGGCGGCUUUGCAAGUCGGGUGUGAAAGCCCGGGGCUCAACCCCGGAAGUGCAUUCGAAACUGCAGAGCUUGAGUCUUGGAGAGGGUGGUGGAAUUCCGAGUGUAGAGGUGAAAUUCGUAGAUAUUCGGAGGAACACCAGUGGCGAAGGCGACCACCUGGACAAAGACUGACGCUGAGGUGCGAAAGCGUGGGGAGCAAACAGG
rnacentral:rRNA from 1 species